GCCGUACUUGGCCAGCACGGGCUGCAGCUUGGUGCGCAGCUUGGCCUGUUCGGCGGCGGGCAGUUCGGUG
rnacentral:tRNA from 1 species